UACGGGGGGGGGCAAGCGUUGUUCGGAAUUACUGGGCGUAAAGGGCUCGUAGGCGGCCAACUAAGUCAGACGUGAAAUCCCUCGGCUUAACCGGGGAACUGCGUCUGAUACUGGAUGCUUGAGGCCGGGAGGGGGUAGCGGAAUUCCCAGUGUAGCGGUGAAAUGCGUAGAUAUUGGGAGGAACACCGGUGGCGAAGGCGGCUACCUGGACCGGUUCUGACGCUGAUGCGCGAAAGCGUGGGUAGCAAACAGG
rnacentral:rRNA from 1 species